rnacentral:lncRNA from 1 species
GAGUAUCAUAAACGAGUAAAUAAAAUAGUAAAGAUUAGAAAUAGACCUCAAUUGUGGAUUUCAAUAUAUCAAAGAUAGAACCACGUCCGAAAUACCUCAAUUUCAAUAACAAACAACACCAAUUUGGUAUCAAGGAAUUGCGACCCGAACAAAUUUAAAGAAAAAUAUCAAGCAAACUAAGACAAAAAUUAUGAAAAUCAAGAAGCCUGUACAUGAUUUCCGAUGAACUUUGUCGGAAUAAGAAACUGAAAUGGGCCACCUUUACUGGAUGUGAUUUAGAUCAAAACCAGAGUUGGGUUCACUAUUUCCACUUCACCGGAGCUCCAGCGAGCUCAGCAAUGGAAAAAGUUAGAGAACCGCAACUCAGAUUUGUGCGAAUAACAGUGUUUUUCGGUGGUUUCAGCCAUGGUGUUCCAAUUAUGGUUCAAUCAAAACCUAAAAAAACUGGUUGAACGAUAUUUCCUGGUGAUUAGCUCAUCAAAAAACUCGAGUUUUGCCCAUCUCUCUCAAAUUCUUUUAAUCUAUGUCCUGUCUCGCUUAAAUCUCUCAAAAUCUCUAUGAUUUUCCUCUCAUUUUUCUUGCUCAAUUUUGAGUGUGUGUGUUUUCUCGUGACUAUCAUGUUAAUGGCCUCCCCGAUGAGUAUGUGAAUUUUUCUAAUUUUGAUGUGAGGGUGUGUGUUUUUUUAUUAUGAUGUAUGUGUGAAUUUUGUAGCUGUGUGGUAUCCUAAUCCUCCAUUUUUUGUGUGUGAGAUAUGUAGAGUAUAUAUCACUGUCUGUGAAUUUUUUUUUUUGGUGAGUGAGUAUAUGUGUGCAUAUAAAUUCUGUUGAGAGAGUGUGAGGUUUGAAA